rnacentral:lncRNA from 1 species
UUCUUUGUUUUGUUUUGAAGGGAUGGGCUGGCAGUUUUUAAAAAUAGAGUAGCAUCAUGAAUAUGACCUGCAAUCAGAUUUUUUUCUAUAUAUUUUGCAUAAUUUGAAAUACUAAAAAUCUGUAUUUUUUCGUAGUCUCUGGAAAGUACAAGAAGAAUCCUGGGUUUAGCCAUUGAGGUAAGAAGUGUUUAAUCAUUAAGUAUAGAGAUUUAUAGGAGGGAUCCUAGCAGCACUAGCUGGAAUUGGUGUUGAAGGGUAUCAUGUCAAUACACUUUAUUAUUUUAAACCAGCAAUUGCUAAAAUUGUCAAACCAUGCACUAACGGGCCUUUUCUGUUUUCCCCUUUGACAGUAUUGAAAUAUUACAGGGAAGAUGAAUUCACCAUGAGUUUGUGACCUAAUUAUUUUGGGGGUUAAUAUGUUAAAGUGUGUUGGUUUAAGAUCACUAGUUCUAUCUGUAGCUCUAAUCCUCUGAGAACGUGGGUUUCUAAAUGAUUCUUUCUUGCUCUUUGUCAACUCUUAUAGGUUUUGUUUCUGUUAUUUUGAGUUUGUUUUGUUUUACAAUCAGCUUCCCCCCUUCUUUUAGUCUCAGGAUGCAGGAAUCAAGACCAUCACUAUGCUGGAUGAGCAAGGGGGUGAGUUGAAGUUAUUAGCAGAAACUCUUUUUUUUUUUUUUAUUGGUUGUUCAAAACAUUACAAAGCUCUUGACAUAUCAUAUUUCAUACAUUUGAUUCAAGUGGGUUAUGAACUCCCAUUUUUACCCCGUAUACAGAUUGCAGAAUCACAUCGGUUACACAUCCACGUUUUUACAUAUUGCCAUACUAGUGACUGUUGUAUUCUGCUAUCUUUCCUAUCCUCUACUGUCCCCCCUCUCCCCCUCAGCAGAACCUCUUUAUUUUGACUUACUGUGCUAAAAAAAAAACCCUGUCAAAU